GUGCCUAACGGUAGGCUACAUAGUUAAAAAAUAUACAUACAUACAUACAUACGAAUACAAAAGAAAAAUUAAUGAAACCGUUGUGCAGCGCGUGUACGUCAAAGCAAUACUGGCUCCAAAUGUGCAAGUUGUGCUACAGACACCGACAGAUGUUUCGGUAUGCGCUUAGGCUUGAAAAUGUCGACAUUAAAAUAUCAACAACAAUUUGUACGCAAUAGUGGAGAUAAGCAUACAGAGUCAAAGGCGUGGAAAAGUGUGUGUAAAAGAGCUGUUGAAUGAAAGUAAAAACAACAAAAUUUAUUAAGAGAAGCAAGUGUGAACACAUACUUAUGUUUAAAAAGUUAACGGUGUAUGCCGACACGUGUACAGAAAUGUCCCUUGUGGCACAUAACCCGCAAAAACUCUUAGUAAAUACCACAAGCCAACGAGCGAACAUAUGUACAUACAUACAUAUGUCAGGUGCGCUUCAGCGAGAGUGUGGCAAGUUGAAUGCAGCCAAAAAACCGUCCAGCAUUGCUCUAAAAAUGCAUAAAAAUUAAUAUUUCAAAUAAAAAAACUACAAUUGAACCGUUAUAAAACCAAGCGCAGCACACAGUAAACAGAAGAUUUA